rnacentral:rRNA from 1 species
GAUGAACGCUCGCGGCAGGCCUAAUACAUGCAAGUCGGACGGGAUUCAGGAGCUUGCUUCUGAUGAGAGUGGCGCACGGGUGCGUAACACGUAUGUAACCUACCUUUAUCAGGGGGAUAGCCUCUCGAAAGAGAGAUUAAGCCCGCAUAAAAUCACAGCACAGCAUUGUGUAAUGAUCAAAUAUUUAUAGGAUAAAGAUGGGCAUGCGGAACAUUAGCUAGAUGGCGGGGUAACGGCCCACCAUGGCGACGAUGUUUAGGGGAUCUGAGAGGAUGGCCCCCCACACUGGUACUGAGACACGGACCAGACUCCUACGGGAGGCAGCAGUAAGGAAUAUUGGUCAAUGGGCGGAAGCCUGAACCAGCCAUGCCGCGUGCAGGAAGACGGCCCUACGGGUUGUAAACUGCCUUUAUACGGGAAUAAACCCAGAUACGUGUAUCUGGCUGAAUGUACUGUAAGAAUAAGGAUCGGCUAACUCCGUG